rnacentral:tRNA from 1 species
GCCGAAAUAGCUCAGUUGGGAGAGCAUUAGACUGAAGAUCUAAAGGUCCCUGGUUCGAUCCCGGUUUUCGGCA